CUUGGCUCUUUUAAUGAGAAUGAGCUUGCUAAUCUUCAUACGAAAUUAAGACCUCACAUUCUCCGAAGAUUUAUUAAGGAUGUAGAGAAAUCUUUGCCUCCAAAAAUUGAACGAAUUCUUAUGGUUGAGAUGUCUCCACUUCAGAAACAGUACUAUAAGUGGAUAUUGGAACGCAACUUCCAUGACUUGAACAAAGGAGUUUGUGGGAAUCACGUAUUAUGUGUUGCAAAUAUUUUUUGAAGAAUUUAGAGGUUUCACUUUUAAAUAUUGUGGUUGAGUUGAAGAAGUGCUGCAAUCACCCCUUCCUGUUUGAGAGUGCAGACCAUGGUUAUGGUGGUGACUCAAGAACCAAUGAUAGCAGUAAACUUGAGAGAAUUAUUUUGAGCAGUGGGAAGUUAGUUAUACUCGAUAAGCUGCUUGUUAGGUUGCAUGAGACAAAGCAUCGUGUUUUAAUUUUUUCCCAGAUGGUAAGAAUGUUGGAUAUACUAGCAGAAUAUAUGUCACAUAGAGGGUUUCAAUUUCAAAGGCUAGAUGGCAGCACUAAGGUUGAACUGCGUCAGCAAGCAAUGGAUCAUUUUAAUGCACCUGGUAGUGAUGAUUUCUGCUUCCUUCUUUCAACUCGGGCAAGUGGCCUAGGCAAUGAGUAGAGCUCAUAGAAUCGGCCAACAAGAAGUUGUGAACAUCUACAGAUUUGUCACAAGCAAAAGUGUUGAGGAAGAUAUCUUGGAGCGAGCUAAGAAAAAGAUGGUUCUUGACCACCUGGUGAUCCAGAAAUUGAAUUCAGAAGGCAGAUUGGAGAAGAAAGAAGCAAAGAAGGGGAGUUAUUUUGACUAGAAUGAGCUUUCAGCUAUCUUGAGAUUUGGAGCAGAAGAACUUUUUAAAGAAGAGAAGAAUGAAGAAGAAAGUAUAUUGAGAUGAUUUCUUUGGAGCAAUUCUUGACAAUAUUUGUAGUUAAGGCCUUUAGAAUGGAAGAAUGUAUUUCACUAAUUUUUGUAUACGUUUUUUUGUUUUGUAUUUAGUGAUAAAGGAAUUUGAAUUGGGCAUAAAUUAUGUUGUAAUAUGAUUUCUUAAACCUAGACUAGUAGACUAAAUAUUGUAAUUACAUUUGAGUAAUUAAUAAAAAUCUAUUUAUGUUA